GAUGAACGCUAGCGGCAGGCUUAAUACAUGCAAGUCGAGGGGCAGCAGGGUGUAGCAAUACACUGCUGGCGACCGGCAAACGGGUGCGGAACACGUACGCAACCUUCCUUUAAGUGGGGGAUAGCCCAGGGAAACUUGGAUUAAUACCUCGUAAUAUUAUGAGAUGGCAUCGUCUUAUAAUUAUAGCUCAGGCGCUUAAAGAUGGGCGUGCGCCUGAUUAGGUAGUUGGCGGGGUAACGGCCCACCAAGCCUUCGAUCAGUAACUGGUGUGAGAGCACGACCAGUCACACGGGCACUGAGACACGGGCCCGACUCCUACGGGAGGCAGCAGUAAGGAAUAUUGGUCAAUGGACGCAAGUCUGAACCAGCCAUGCCGCGUGGAGGAUGAAGGUCCUCUGGAUUGUAAACUUCUUUUAUUUGGGACGAAAAAAGAUCAUUCUUGAUCACUUGACGGUACCAGAUGAAUAAGCACCGGCUAACUACGUGCCAGCAGCCGCCCGUAAUAC
rnacentral:rRNA from 1 species